rnacentral:rRNA from 1 species
UACGAAGGGGGCUAGCGUUGCUCGGAAUGACUGGGCGUAAAGGGCGCGUAGGCGGUUUGUUUAGUUAGGCGUGAAAUUCCUGGGCUCAACCUGGGGGCUGCGCUUAAUACAGGCAGACUAGAGUGUGAGAGAGGGUUGUGGAAUUUCCAGUGUAGAGGUGAAAUUCGUAGAUAUUGGAAAGAACACCGGUGGCAAAGGCGGCAACCUGGCUCAUUACUGACGCUGAGGCGCGAAAGCGUGGGGAGCAAACAGG